ACUUAAUGGAGGCUUUGCUCUAUGGAAUGAGCUGAGCUGGGGUACAUGGAGCACUUAGUGGAUAUUGGUUCAACUAAGAAUCCUGGUGAUGCAUGCCACCCUUGGCAGGCUUCCAGUUCUCAGUGGCUCAGAUCUAUUCUUCUUGAGAAGACCAAGGCCUGACUCUUCUGUGCCACAGUGUCCUCAUCUGUCUCCUGGCCUGGGGUGCCCUCUCCAGGUAGUGGUAUGAGAUAGGACAGAUAAGGGCAGCAAAAACUCGAGGAAGGUUCAGCCCACUGGGAGUAGUGAAACCUAGAUGCUUCAUUCAGUCCAGCCAUUAUAGAACCAGAUGGAUCCUCUCAAAAGAGCUAAAUGCCUCCAGCACAGAAGGCUGGGCCACGGCAGGUUUAUUACAUCACAGGCUGGAGAAAAUAAACUUUAACAUGGUUGCACUGGAAGAGGUGUGUACUUUUCAGAACAGCAAGAUUCUUGGUCUCCUGCAUCGUUCAAAAUGCAAUGGCAAUCCAGACAGAAAAGCACUAAAUAAAAUGGGUAAGCUGGAG
rnacentral:lncRNA from 1 species